rnacentral:rRNA from 1 species
GUGACUGCCGGUGACAAACCGGAGGAAGGUGGGGAUGACGUCAAAUCAUCAUGCCCCUUAUGACCUGGGCUACACACGUGCUACAAUGGACAGAACAAAGGGCUGCGAGACCGCAAGGUUUAGCCAAUCCCACAAAUCUGUUCUCAGUUCGGAUCGCAGUCUGCAACUCGACUGCGUGAAGCUGGAAUCGCUAGUAAUCGCGGAUCAGCAUGCCGCGGUGAAUACGUUCCCGGGCCUUGUACACACCGCCCGUCACACCACGAGAGUUUGCAACACCCGAAGUCGGUGAGGUAACCUUUAUGGAGCCAGCCGCCGAAGGUGGGGCAGAUGAUUGGGGGUGAAGUCGUAAC